AUGACAAGUGGGCCCUCAAAUAUUUCCCCAUGCCAUCCAUCUAACUACAUCGACCAGCUCCUCGGCAGCAGUGAUCGAGCGGUGGAGCAGCCGGCCCCGGAGCUGCCGAACAUCUCGUCGAGGGCCAUGACGAUCCCCAUGGCCAGCGGCGUGCCAAGGCGGCGAGGGUCCGGCACCACCAGCCGGAACACCUCGUCGCCCACCGGCGACUCCUUCCGCCGCACCUCCACCACGGCCUCCCCGCGGGCGUCCCGCACCGCGACGCACCGCCGCGCGUACGACCCCUCCACCACGUACGACUCGCGCAACGCCGGCGUGAGAGGCGUUACGUGCGCGAGCGCUUUCUGCUUGGACGACGACGACGCGUGGGCGUGGCGCAGCAAGCCGGCGUGA
rnacentral:rRNA from 1 species